rnacentral:misc_RNA from 1 species
UCAAAAUUCAAGCUAUUGCUUGGUGUUGAGCUUGAUUUUAUGAUCUGCUCGAAACUCAUUGGCAGCAGUCUCCAUGGCCGACAGCGCGACAGAAUUUCUCGCUGCAGAUCUGGAGAAUCAGUUUGCCGGUACAACAAAACA